GGGUUGUGAGGUUAAGCGACUAAGCGUACACGGUGGAUGCCCUGGCAGUCAGAGGCGAUGAAGGACGUGCUAAUCUGCGAAAAGCGCCGGCGAGGUGAUAUGAACCUUUGACCCGGCGAUGUCCGAAUGGGGAAACCCAGUGUGUUCCGACACACUAUCGUUAACUGAAUACAUAGGUUAACGAGGCGAACCGGGGGAACUGAAACAUCUAAGUACCCCGAGGAAAAGAAAUCAACCGAGAUUCCCCCAGUAGCGGCGAGCGAACGGGGAGCAGCCCAGAGUCUGAAUCAGCUUGUGUGUUAGUGGAAGCGUCUGGAAAGUCGCACGGUACAGGGUGACAGUCCCGUACACGAAAGCACACAGGUUGUGAACUCGAAGAGUAGGGCGGGACACGUGGUAUCCUGUCUGAAUAUGGGGGGACCAUCCUCCAAGGCUAAAUACUCCUGACUGACCGAUAGUGAACCAGUACCGUGAGGGAAAGGCGAAAAGAACCCCGGCGAGGGGAGUGAAAAAGAACCUGAAACCGUGUACGUACAAGCAGUGGGAGCACCUUCGUGGUGUGACUGCGUACCUUUUGUAUAAUGGGUCAGCGACUUAUAUUCUGUAGCAAGGUUAACCGUAUAGGGGAGCCGAAGGGAAACCGAGUCUUAACUGGGCGUUAAGUUGCAGGGUAUAGACCCGAAACCCGGUGAUCUAGCCAUGGGCAGGUUGAAGGUUGGGUAACACUAACUGGAGGACCGAACCGACUAAUGUUGAAAAAUUAGCGGAUGACUUGUGGCUGGGGGUGAAAGGCCAAUCAAACCGGGAGAUAGCUGGUUCUCCCCGAAAGCUAUUUAGGUAGCGCCUCGUGAACUCAUCUUCGGGGGUAGAGCACUGUUUCGGCUAGGGGGCCAUCCCGGCUUACCAACCCGAUGCAAACUACGAAUACCGAAGAAUGUUAUCACGGGAGACACACGGCGGGUGCUAACGUCCGUCGUGAAGAGGGAAACAACCCAGACCGCCAGCUAAGGUCCCAAAGUCAUGGUUAAGUGGGAAACGAUGUGGGAAGGCACAGACAGCCAGGAUGUUGGCUUAGAAGCAGCCAUCAUUUAAAGAAAGCGUAAUAGCUCACUGGUCGAGUCGGCCUGCGCGGAAGAUGUAACGGGGCUAAACCAUGCACCGAAGCUGCGGCAGCGACGCUUAUGCGUUGUUGGGUAGGGGAGCGUUCUGUAAGCCGUUGAAGGUGUGCUGUGAGGCAUGCUGGAGGUAUCAGAAGUGCGAAUGCUGACAUAAGUAACGAUAAAGCGGGUGAAAAGCCCGCUCGCCGGAAGACCAAGGGUUCCUGUCCAACGUUAAUCGGGGCAGGGUGAGUCGACCCCUAAGGCGAGGCCGAAAGGCGUAGUCGAUGGGAAACAGGUUAAUAUUCCUGUACUUGGUGUUACUGCGAAGGGGGGACGGAGAAGGCUAUGUUAGCCGGGCGACGGUUGUCCCGGUUUAAGCAUGUAGGCGGAGGUUCCAGGUAAAUCCGGUACCUUUUAACGCUGAGGUGUGAUGACGAGGCACUACGGUGCUGAAGUAACAAAUGCCCUGCUUCCAGGAAAAGCCUCUAAGCAUCAGGUAACACGAAAUCGUACCCCAAACCGACACAGGUGGUCAGGUAGAGAAUACCAAGGCGCUUGAGAGAACUCGGGUGAAGGAACUAGGCAAAAUGGUGCCGUAACUUCGGGAGAAGGCACGCUGAUAUGUAGGUGAAGCCCCUGCGGGUGGAGCUGAAAUCAGUCGAAGAUACCAGCUGGCUGCAACUGUUUAUUAAAAACACAGCACUGUGCAAACACGAAAGUGGACGUAUACGGUGUGACGCCUGCCCGGUGCCGGAAGGUUAAUUGAUGGGGUUAGCGGCAACGCGAAGCUCUUGAUCGAAGCCCCGGUAAACGGCGGCCGUAACUAUAACGGUCCUAAGGUAGCGAAAUUCCUUGUCGGGUAAGUUCCGACCUGCACGAAUGGCGUAAUGAUGGCCAGGCUGUCUCCACCCGAGACUCAGUGAAAUUGAACUCGCUGUGAAGAUGCAGUGUACCCGCGGCAAGACGGAAAGACCCCGUGAACCUUUACUAUAGCUUGACACUGAACACUGGUCCUUGAUGUGUAGGAUAGGUGGGAGGCUUUGAAGCGUGGACGCCAGUCUGCGUGGAGCCGUCCUUGAAAUACCACCCUUUAAUGGCUGGUGUUCUAACGUAGACCCGUAAUCCGGGUUGCGGACAGUGUCUGGUGGGUAGUUUGACUGGGGCGGUCUCCUCCCAAAGAGUAACGGAGGAGCACGAAGGUUAGCUAAUCCUGGUCGGACAUCAGGAGGUUAGUGCAAUGGCAUAAGCUAGCUUGACUGCGAGAGUGACGGCUCGAGCAGGUGCGAAAGCAGGUCAUAGUGAUCCGGUGGUUCUGAAUGGAAGGGCCAUCGCUCAACGGAUAAAAGGUACUCCGGGGAUAACAGGCUGAUACCGCCCAAGAGUUCAUAUCGACGGCGGUGUUUGGCACCUCGAUGUCGGCUCAUCACAUCCUGGGGCUGAAGUAGGUCCCAAGGGUAUGGCUGUUCGCCAUUUAAAGUGGUACGCGAGCUGGGUUUAGAACGUCGUGAGACAGUUCGGUCCCUAUCUGCCGUGGGCGCUGGAGAAUUGAGGGGGGCUGCUCCUAGUACGAGAGGACCGGAGUGGACGCAUCACUGGUGUUCGGGUUGUCAUGCCAAUGGCACUGCCCGGUAGCUAAAUGCGGAAAAGAUAAGUGCUGAAAGCAUCUAAGCACGAAACUUGCCCCGAGAUGAGUUCUCCCUGAGACUUUAAGUCUCCUGAAGGAACGUUGAAGACGACGACGUUGAUAGGUCGGGUGUGUAAGCGCAGCGAUGCGUUGAGCUAACCGAUACUAAUGAACCGUGAGGCUUAACCUUACAACGCCGAAG
rnacentral:rRNA from 2 species